rnacentral:rRNA from 1 species
UACGUAGGUGACAAGCGUUGUCCGGAUUUACUGGGCGUAAAGAGCGCGCAGGCGGUCGUUCAAGUCGAGUGUGAAAGCCCCCGGCUCAACUGGGGAGGGUCAUUCGAUACUGAUCGACUCGAAGGCAGGAGAGGGAAGUGGAAUUCCCGGUGUAGUGGUGAAAUGCGUAGAUAUCGGGAGGAACACCAGUGGCGAAGGCGACUGCCUGGACCGUGGCUGACGCUGAGGCGCGAAAGCGUGGGGAGCGAUCCGG